GUGCUCACUUCAGCCGCACAUAUACUAAACUUGGAAUGAUACAGGGAAGAUUAGCAGGGCCCUGAGCAAGGAUGAGGUGCAAAUUCGUGAAGCGUUCUAUAUUUAA
ensembl:snRNA U6 U6 spliceosomal RNA